UGGGAUUGCAAAUUGGUACAGCCCCUAUGGAAAGCAGUAUGGAGAUUCCUUGGAAAAUUGGAGAUGGAACUACCAUUUGACCCAGCUAUCCCAUUCCUUGGUGUAUACCCAAAGGACUUAAAAUAGCAUACUACAGGGACACAGCCCCAUCAAUGUUUAUAGCAGCACAAUUCACAGUAGCUAAACUGUGGAACCAACCUAGAUGCCCAACUUUGGUAAUCUUUUAAAGUUUCACUUGCAGUAAUGGUUAAGAGGGGCUUCAAACUUGCAAACCUUUUAGCCUCCUGAGCCUCUGAGAUUACAGAAAUGAGUCACCAUGCCCAGUUUAUUUCAUUUUAUUGAUUUGAAUUUUUGUAUGCCAGUUUUCAAGGAGGUAAAUAAACCAAUAAGCUGACUGUUGACUUUUCUCGGUGUUUCACUAGGUAUAGCUUCUAAGUUAGGAAUUCUCUUUAAAGUUGGCAGAGAAGAGAAAUGGAAGUGGCCAAAUUAUUUAAAAAGCUCUUUGUAGGCCUGGAGAUGACCUAUCCAGGCAGUAUACUGCAUAAUCAUGCAGUACCACGCGACCAGGCAUUCAU
rnacentral:lncRNA from 1 species